UUUUGUCGAAAGCAUCUAAAGUAGGUCCUUACUUUUAAAUUUUAGCAUCAGGUUCUAGUUGAUUAUAAGUAAGCACUUAUUCUAAGCAAGCAUGGUGAACAAGCAAAAUUAAUCAAGCAUCAAUAUUAAUCAUCAACCUUUGUUCCACUUCUUACUCAGUGUAGCAUAGUGAUCAAGCAGUCCCAAAAUGUGAGAGGCAGAUGAUUUGAAUUGAGUUUCUU
rnacentral:lncRNA from 1 species